rnacentral:rRNA from 1 species
CCUACGGGGGGCAGCAGUGGGGAAUAUUGGGCAAUGGAGGAAACUCUUACCCAGCAACGCCGCGUGAAUGAUGAAGGUCUUCGGAUUGUAAAGUUCUUUUCUAAGGGACGAAGAAAGUGACGGUACCUUAGGAAUAAGCCUCGGCUAACUACGUGCCAGCAGCCGCGGUAAUACGUAGGAGGCAAGCGUUAUCCGGAAUGACUGGGCGUAAAGGGUGUGUAGGCGGUGUGGCAAGUUGGUAGCGUAAUCCCAAGGCUUAACCUUGGAACUACUACUAAAACUGGUGGACGUGAGUGCAGGAGAGGAAAGUGGAAUUCCUAGUGGAGCGGUGGAAUGCGUAGAUAUUAGGAGGAACAUCAGUGGCGAAGGCGAGUUGCUGGACUGUAACUGACGCUGAGGCACGAAAGCGUGGGGAGCAAACAGGAUUAGAUACCCUUGUAGUC